CGGAAUUCUUUGUGAAUAAGGGUUUCGAUGCAGAAGUCAUUGGAGUAACACCCAACAAAGGCACAGUGCGUGACAUGCUUGUGUUUCCCUGUGGUGGGGGCCAGACAGUGCUGUAGGAGGUUAAUGUAGCUGAAAGGAGGGACCAGAGGUGGUUGAUGUAUAAGAGAGAGGAGGAGGAAAAUCUCAGAGAGGAUACCGAUGACUGAGGGAGCAGCACUGUCUGACUGACUGACUAACUAAUGGCAAAUCCCAGUAUCUCCCAUCAUCUAAUUAACAUCACUUUGCAAGGCCCAAAAAAAUCUAAACAAAAGUUCAAGUGGAACAAUGAGGUCGUUCAGCGCAUGGCGCGGCGCCUUACCCAGGCGGAGAUCCAAUAUCUCCUGCUGUGCAGCUGUGAACAAGUCCUGUGCGUUCCUCUUCUAGGCCGAUA
rnacentral:lncRNA from 1 species